rnacentral:rRNA from 1 species
CCUACGGGUGGCAGCAGUGGGGAAUAUUGGACAAUGGGGGGAACCCUGAUCCAGCCAUGCCGCGGGUGUGAAGAAGGCCCUCGGGUUGUAAAGCACUUUCAGUGAGGAAGAACGCCUGGUGGUUAAUACCCAUCAGGAAAGACAUCACUCACAGAAGAAGCACCGGCUAACUCCGUGCCAGCAGCCGCGGUAAUACGGAGGGUGCGAGCGUUAAUCGGAAUUACUGGGCGUAAAGCGCGCGUAGGUGGCUUGAUAAGCCGGUUGUGAAAGCCCCGGGCUCAACCUGGGAACGGCAUCCGGAACUGUCAAGCUAGAGUGCAGGAGAGGAAGGUAGAAUUCCCGGUGUAGCGGUGAAAUGCGUAGAGAUCGGGAGGAAUACCAGUGGCGAAGGCGGCCUUCUGGACUGACACUGACACUGAGGUGCGAAAGCGUGGGUAGCAAACAGGAUUAGAUACCCCUGUAGUC